rnacentral:rRNA from 1 species
UACGUAGGGUGCAAGCGUUGUCCGGAAUUAUUGGGCGUAAAGAGCUUGUAGGCGGUUUGUCGCGUCUGCUGUGAAAUUUCGGGGCUCAACCCCGAACUUGCAGUGGGUACGGGCAGACUAGAGUGUGGUAGGGGAGACUGGAAUUCCUGGUGUAGCGGUGAAAUGCGCAGAUAUCAGGAGGACCCCCGAUGGCGAAGGAAGGUCUCUGGCCACUACUGACGCUGAGAAGCGAAAGCAUGGGGAGCGAACAGG